AGGUAUAGAACCAUAGAGACUGGAAAGCUUCACUAGGUAGACAGAUUCAUUUUAAGUAGAUUAAUGGUAAUGAUUUCAUCUAAUAUUUCUAAUUGCAGUUUUAUUCCUGUUUGAGUAUCCAGUAAAUGUACCAGAGCCAGUCACAUACAUAGGAGUCGUUUGAGUUUGGUUAAUCACAGAAUAAGCAGCAAGGAGACGACGAGCAAGGUUGGAGGGCAAAUUUUAGGAGCAGCAGGCAAUCUCCGCUUCCACCACCGGUCAAGAAACCAGCAUGUAUUUGGGAUCCAGCCGCGAAGGCAGACAUCAGGAUGGAUCAGUCGCAAAGGUACAUUAGCAGCAAGAAUGACGCCAAAACAAAACACAAUGACGACCAAGCAGGGUCAAGAAAUGUAUGGCAUAGUGGAACAACCAAUCUCCAAGUCCAGCAAAGAAGUACAGAUAACACUGCGCCACGCUCAGUAGGCACACAGCAUUAACUACUAGGCUCUGAAUUAGUAGCGCCGUAUCAUUUCAGCAGUCUCGGAACCAUUGAGAUUGGAAAACUUCACUAGAUAGGCAGAUUCGCCUUGAGUAAACCAAUGGAAAUGACUUCAUCCAAUAUUACCAACUGCAGCUCUACUCUUGUUUAAGUAUCCAGUAACUGAACAGAGCCAACCACAUGUUUAGGAGCCGUACAAGUUAGAUUGAGCAUAGGUAAGUCAGCAUAUUCCAUAUAGGUAUAUUAGCAGCAAGGAUGACGCUAAAAACAGAGCCAGGGUCGAUAAAGUAUGGCAUAGUGAAACGACUAUUCUCCAAGUCUGGUGGCGAUGUACAGGAUGCGUAAUAAUUAGUAUUCCAAAUAGCCGUCAUGACAGGAUAAGUUAAUAUGUGAUCGUCAGGUAGUCGCGGCAAAGGGCAGAUUGCUGAAGGAACCUGGGACAAAGUAGUACAUUAAAGUAUUUGUGGUUGGCAAGGCUGGAAAGCCUAUCAUCUAGUUGCUGUUCAGGAGUAGGUGGUGGAAUCUUACUCAGAGAAGGUGGAAUCAUAACAAGACGUUGAAUGUAUUCUGGUUGGCAUUUGAUUUUCUGCACUGUUUACCUGCGUGUAUAAACACUACUACGGAGUCACCAUGGUGGAGCGUUUACCCAGAACAUCAAGAAGCGCUGAAAAGGAUCACAUUCAAGCUUUAGGCAUUCAAUCUCUUCACAAGCUUCAGUAUCUAAUUUCCUUUAAGCCUAUUUACAUCCGUAUGCUGCUACAUUAUAGAAUCAAUCCAGUUUUAAAUUCCUGAUUCAGUUAUGGAGGAAUAGGAGCAGCGAAAUACGCUAAACAGGCUGAAGAGAGCAAAUAUAGGAGCUGCAAACGAAUUCCUAAGACUGGCAGAUUGGCUAGAAAAUGCAGUCAAUUUUUCCAAGGAUACUGCAACGUUACGUUACUCAAGUGGGUGCUUAGCAGUUGGUCAGGAUUCCGUCAGAUGAACAGCUGUUGGAUUGAAUGAUGCCAAUUAACUCCCAAUUGAGGGGCAGACAUAUGUUAUCCCGCUGCAGCAAAGAUUUUAGGAUGGAUUAAUUACAGGAACGUAAAUAAAUUAGCAGCAGAUUGUAGGA